GCGGGAGCGGGACCCCCAGUGGCUGCGCCGAGGCCGCCGGGCGCUGCCCCCGCGCUCCGGGUCACUGCGGUCCCCGGGGGAUCCGGGCCCGGAACAGCCUUGGGGAGACGGGAGGGGACCCCGCCCGGCGGAGCAAGACCACGGCAGCUGGCUGGUUUGUGUAUCAGCUGGGCCUGGGUUCCUUCUAAGAAAUGCUUCUUGGGAUAAGGAGCUGGAAGGCCUCCCUCUGCUGACCGGGUGGGAGGAUCCUACAAUGACUGUGAGCGUGGAAUUUGGAAAUCAGAUGGCCUGGGUUCAAACCUAGUUUUGCCAAUUCUGUGGGAAAAUGACUUCAUUCUUGAAGCCUCAGCUGCCUCGAUUGUGAAGAGGAUCAUACCACCUGAGGGGGUUCCGUGAGCCUUGACUGGAAGAUGGGGACCCCCACAGCAACUGCCCAGCCUAGAACCCCGGGACCGAGUGAAGAUGUCAGAGGGGGCUCCUUGUUGGAGAAGUCCCAGAAAGACACUGCCCCAGACCAGCCCCCUGCAUUAUCAAACAUGGAGAAGAGGAGUCAUUCUGCCUUCUGGGGACCAGAGAGUCAGAUUGAUCCUGUGAUGCCAGACACUAGUUCCUCAGGGAAGAAUAGAAAAAAGGAAAAUUAUAUUUUUGAGUCCAGGAGUGAUCAAGGAGAAGGGGAACAACCAGUGGCAGAAACAAGCAAAUGUGUAACUUGGAGACUCAGUCAGAGGACUGCAUAAACAUUCACAGAGCCACACAGCCUCCAGUGGAGGAUCAGAGAUGAAGCUGUAGGAGUUCAUGACAAGAGCUGUGAGCUGUGGUUCAGAAGCACCCGUGUGUUCUCCUCUCAUCCAUCGUGUCUCAUCUUUGGGCUCUUGAACUAGUAACCCCCCAUCUUUGGACUUCAGCUUCCUCCUUUAUAAGUUGAUUGGACUAGAUAAUCCCUCUAGUCCCUUCCAGGUGAAACAUUCUAUAGAAAGAGUAAUACUCCUGGUGUAGUGGUUAGGAAGACAGGCUCCAGAAUCAGGUGCCAAGUUUCGAGUCCUUGCUCCACCACUGAACUCUGUCACCUUGGGUGUAAUCUUCUCUCUCUGGAUCUCCAUUUCCUCAUUAGGAAGAUGGAGAUAAAACCUACAUCUGCCUCACAGAGUUGUUAGGGAGAAUAAAUGGAACAAUUGAUAUGAAGCA